rnacentral:rRNA from 1 species
UUAAUUCGAUGCAACGCGAAGAACCUUACCUACCCUUGACAUCCUGCGAAUCCCGAUGAGAGUUGGGAGUGCCGAAAGGAACGCAGAGACAGGUGCUGCAUGGCUGUCGUCAGCUCGUGUUGUGAGAUGUUGGGUUAAGUCCCGUAACGAGCGCAACCCUUGUCCUUAGUUGCCAGCAAGUAAAGUUGGGGACUCUAAGGAGACCGCCGGUGAUGAACCGGAGGAAGGCGGGGACGACGUCAAGUCAUCAUGGCCUUUAUGGGUAGGGCUACACACGUGCUACAAUGGGGCGUACAGAGGGUAGCCAACCCGCGAGGGGGAGCCAAUCUCUUAAAGCGUCUCGUAGUCCGGAUUGGAGUCUGCAACUCGACUCCAUGAAGUUGGAAUCGCUAGUAAUCGCGAAUCAGCAACGUCGCGGUGAAUACGUUCCCGGGCCUUGUACACACCGCC